UACGAAGGGGGCUAGCGUUGUUCGGAAUUAUUGGGCGUAAAGCGCGCGCAGGCGGUCUGCCAAGUCAGUGGUGAAAGCCCGGAGCUCAACUCCGGAACUGCCAUUGAAACUGUGAGACUUGAGGAUGAGAGAGGUGAGUGGAAUUCCCAGUGUAGAGGUGAAAUUCGUAGAUAUUGGGAAGAACACCGGUGGCGAAGGCGGCUCACUGGCUCAUUACUGACGCUCAGGCGCGACAGCGUGGGGAUCAAACAGG
rnacentral:rRNA from 1 species